CGCGUAGGCAACGAGGAAAGCGGAGAUCUUCAGCAUGACCAUGGUCCCUGCACAGUGAGAGACAUCCCCAUCAAAUACAGCUGAUCACGGUCACCUCAGCCUCGCAGGGACACGCCAAGCUCUUUGGCCGCUUCCCACAGAGAGUUUCCAGCCCAGAGGAGGACGGCUGGUUCUGUGGCGUCACUCGCCGCAGGGUUCAGAGUGCGGCGUGUCUGCAGGUGAGGGCUGCUGAGUGUGUGUGGGGAGGAGGGGUGGGGGUCUGAGCCUGCCACCUCCAGGAGGGACCGGUGCAUUAGUGUAAUGAGCUGCCAGCGCUCGCUCGCCCUCUCUCUCUCUCUCUCUCGCACGCACUCUCUCUCUCUCUCUCUGUUGCUUCUCCUCUUCCUCCUCUGUCUUCCUCAGUUGGAGCACAUUCUUCUUCUACUUCUCUGCAUUUCUUCUCCCUAUUUGCUCUCUACGCUCUUGGCCUCGAUCUAACCAGCGGUGAUGCUGGUCCCCAGUCCGUCCCAUUACCAGAGCAGUGGCGCCACCGCGGAGCAGUGCAGUGACUGCCUCCACCACAUGCACACAGCGCAUCGCCAACAUUAGAGUCAAAGUGCUGCGAGACAGGAGUAAAAGUUGAUACUUACCUUCGCGCCAACGCACCAGCCUAUAUAUCCCACCACUUGGAUUUGUGCAUUGACUGUGUAGGUGUUUAAUCAUCCGCCAGCAGCCAAUGGCGUCGCUGUGAUGGCACGACGAGCCAAUGGGAAGCCUCCUCCUUCAGCGCCCGCU